rnacentral:rRNA from 1 species
UACGGAGGGUGCAAGCGUUAUCCGGAUUCACUGGGUUUAAAGGGUGCGUAGGCGGGCAGGUAAGUCAGUGGUGAAAUCUCCGGGCUUAACCCGGAAACUGCCGUUGAUACUAUCUGUCUUGAAUAUAGUGGAGGUGAGCGGAAUAUGUCAUGUAGCGGUGAAAUGCUUAGAUAUGACAUAGAACACCCAUUGCGAAGGCAGCUCGCUACACUAUCAUUGACGCUGAGGCACGAAAGCGUGGGGAGCAAACAGG